CCUACGGGAGGCAGCAGUGGGGAAUAUUGGACAAUGGGGGCAACCCUGAUCCAGCCAUGCCGCGUGUGUGAAGAAGGCCCUCGGGUUGUAAAGCACUUUCAGUGAGGAAGAACGCCUGGUGGUUAAUACCCAUCAGGAAAGACAUCACUCACAGAAGAAGCACCGGCUAACUCCGUGCCAGCAGCCGCGGUAAUACGGAGGGUGCGAGCGUUAAUCGGAAUUACUGGGCGUAAAGCGCGCGUAGGUGGCUUGAUAAGCCGGUUGUGAAAGCCCCGGGCUCAACCUGGGAACGGCAUCCGGAACUGUCAAGCUAGAGUGCAGAAGAGGAAGGUAGAAUUCCCUGUGUAGCGGUGAAAUGCGUAGAGAUCGGGAGGAAUACCAGUGGCGAAGGCGGCCUUCUGGACUGACACUGACACUGAGGUGCGAAAGCGUGGGUAGCAAACAGGAUUAGAUACCCGGGUAGUC
rnacentral:rRNA from 1 species